UGCUUACCAUGCAAGUCGAACGAUGAAGCCUAGCUUGCUAGGUGGAUUAGUGGCGAACGGGUGAGUAAUACGUGAGUGACCUACCUUUGACUCUGGGAUAAGCCUGGGAAACUGGGUCUAAUACCGGAUACGACCAAUCUCCGCAUGGGGUGUUGGUGGAAAGCGUUAUGGAGUGGUUUUAGAUGGGCUCACGGCCUAUCAGCUUGUUGGUGAGGUAAUGGCUUACCAAGGCGACGACGGGUAGCCGGCCUGAGAGGGUGACCGGCCACACUGGGACUGAGACACGGCCCAGACUCCUACGGGAGGCAGCAGUGGGGAAUAUUGCACAAUGGGCGCAAGCCUGAUGCAGCGACGCCGCGUGAGGGAUGACGGCCUUCGGGUUGUAAACCUCUGUUAGCAUCGAAGAAGCGAAAGUGACGGUAGGUGCAGAGAAAGCGCCGGCUAACUACGUGCCAGCAGCCGCGGUAAUACGUAGGGCGCGAGCGUUGUCCGGAAUUAUUGGGCGUAAAGAGCUUGUAGGCGGUUGGUCGCGUCUGCUGUGAAAGGCUGGGGCUUAACCCUGGUUUUGCAGUGGGUACGGGCUAACUAGAGUGCAGUAGGGGAGACUGGAAUUCCUGGUGUAGCGGUGGAAUGCGCAGAUAUCAGGAGGAACACCGAUGGCGAAGGCAGGUCUCUGGGCUGUAACUGACGCUGAGAAGCGAAAGCAUGGGGAGCGAGCAGGAUUAGAUACCCUGGUAGUCCAUGCCGUAAACGUUGGGCACUAGGUGUGGGGGACAUUCCACGUUUUCCGCGCCGUAGCU
rnacentral:rRNA from 1 species